AUACAGAGGGUGCGAGCGUUGUCCGGAAUCACUGGGCGUAAAGGGCGCGUAGGCGGCUCGGUAAGCGUGUGGUGAAAGCCCGGGGCUCAACCCCGGGUCGGCCAUGCGAACUGUCGAGCUGGAGCACGGUAGAGGCACAUGGAAUUCCGGGUGUAGCGGUGGAAUGCGUAGAGAUCCGGAAGAACACCGGUGGCGAAGGCGGUGUGCUGGGCCGUAGCUGACGCUGAGGCGCGACAGCGUGGGGAGC
rnacentral:rRNA from 1 species